AAUGGGCGAAAGCCUGACGGAGCGACACCGCGUGGAGGAUGAAGUUUUUAGGAACGUAAACUCCUUUCGACAGGGACGAAUAAAUUGACGGUACCUGUAGAAGAAGCAUCGGCUAACUACGUGCCAGCAGCCGCGGUAAUACGUAGGAUGCAAGCGUUGUUCGGAAUUACUGGGCGUAAAGAGUACGUAGGCGGUGACGUAAGUCUGAUAUUAAAGACCGAGGCUUAACUUCGGGAAUGGAUCGGAAACUGCGUUGCUAGAGGCAGACAGAGGAUGCCGGAAUUCCCAGUGUAGCGGUGAAAUGCGUAGAUAUUGGGAAGAACACCGGAGGCGAAAGCGGGCAUCUGGGUCUGUAACUGACGCUGAGGCGCGAAAGCGUGGGGAGCAAA
rnacentral:rRNA from 1 species